rnacentral:tRNA from 1 species
AAAAUUCGUUGGCUUCAUAGACCGUGAGGGUUCAAGUCCCCUCUANCC